GCCUCGGCUGGGGAAGUUCUCCCGGCCUUCAGUACCCGCAACUGCCGCCAGCCUGACUACCCGAUUACUGGUCCGAAGCUGGACUGCCCGGAGUUUCCUUACCAGCCCAACUACCGAACUACCUGGUUCUCCUACUCACCCAUCGCGACUCCGCACGCUCAGACUUGGCCGCGGCAGCGGCAGUAGCGGCGGCGGGGGCGGCAGCUUCGGAGGCAGCUUCAGCAAACAAUAUGGCGGAUCUGCAGGACGGCAGCCCGAAACGGACAAACAUUGCAAGCCUGGUUGAAACGCGUUGUUUCUCCCCACCCCUUCUUACCUAGUUUAUACCAAAGGCACACACUUAAAGAGAACGCAGCCACUGAUGAUGGCAGACGGAUACGUACUAAAGAAAGUUAAGUGUGCCAAGUUCGCAACUGUUUCUACCACUGUUUCUUCUUUAUAGUAUGACCUCCUUCUCCCCAAAAUUUUUUCAUAAUUAAAGCCAACUAUACACUUUCAGCUAAUUAUGAAUAUAGAAUCAUCUGGCAAGGAGAAGUGAGUUGCUCAAGGCUAUGAGAGACAAGGAAUGGAAGAAGUCAAGAUUAAACCCAAAUUCUUAGUGUGUCUACCACCCAAAACCCUAAAAUUGUAAUUUUAGGCUACGCGUGGUUGUGAAUGUCUAUAAUCCCAACACUGAGGAGGUUGAGGCAGGAGGAUCACAAAUUCAUGCCAGCAAGACCACUGUAUUUCCAGCACCUGGUACAUUAUCCAACACUUGGUUGUUGAAUAAACAAAUAAAUGAAUGAGAGGAUGAGUUAAAGAGUAAGGGAUAUAAUCCUUUUUUAAUGAUAAGGAAAUUGAGGCUCCCAAUGUUCAUGUGCCUUUUGAAUCAAUUAAUUUAUGGUCUUCCAAGGUUUUUUUGUCUUUUUGAGACAGGGUCUUGCUAUGCAGUUCAGGUUGGCCUUGUGCUCACUUUGUAGCCCAGGCUGGUCUCAAACUUGCAAUGAUCCUCCUGCAUAAGCCUCUGAGUGCUGGGAUUACAGACAUGUACCACUAUGAGUGGUUAGGCCUUCCUUUUUGCACAGUGACAUGCCAACCCUGCAGUCUUCCACCUCGACACACAGAGCCAGGCAAUAUUGUCAAUUCACUGAUCCCAAAACAGUCAACAUCCCCACCCACUUCAGGGUGCUGGCAUUCAAUUCAUAACCUUCCUGAGUGCUGGUAAUAUGUAAUUAUAUUAUGGCAUAUCAGGCUAUGUGCCACAAUGCCAACUACCAUUGGAGACAGAAUAAUGAAGGACCUGAUAUCUAGUUCUAUCAUAAUUUGCCAACUCUAGUUGGAUGCCUGGUCUAUUAAAGGAGACAACACAAAAGGCAAAUUCUGAGUCAAAGGUAGGAAAAGAAAGACUACUUCUUUUCCCUGCUACUGCUCAAGGUCGGACCUCAUCAUUCUAUUUAGUCUGUCCCUUCAUAGGUCUCUUGUCCUGACUCUACCACUCCCACCUAUUUCCUUAAAAACAGAGACCGCAUAUGGUCACUUCUCUUCUUAGCAACUUCCCACUGCCUGUUCUUGGGUAAUGUCCACAUAUUUCAAUCAGUCAUAUAGGCUAGUCCUUGUCAGUACCACUUUCUGAAUAUGCUAUCUUCUUUUGUGCUUUUAUUAUUUUGUUACCUGUUCAAAUGCAGUGAUCUCCCCCGCCUUGACCACGUAGAGCUAUUCAUUUUCAAGACAAAAUUAACAGUUAGCUCUCCAAAGAAUCCUGUCUUCCCUUCUUCCCCAGUGUCCUGACACUUAAAAAAUUGUUUAUUGGCAUAUGUAUAUAUAUAUAUAUAUUUCAUCAUAGAGAAUUUGUACCUGUUUUUCCCAUUCCCCUACCUGCCUUUCACCUAUUCCCUUAUUUACAAAAGGUGGUUCCAUUUUUUCUUUUCUCACUUUUUUCUUUCCCCUUCCAUCUUCCCUUUCCACCCCCUUUCCAAGAUACCCUUCUCAUUUGAACAUUUUCUUAUUACAUGAUACAUAUUAUACAUUUUGGUCCUUAUUUACACUUCUGGUUUUGUACACCAGAGAAACAAUGUAGUAUUUACACAUGUGGUUGGAUACUUGUUUUCCUUAGCACUUCACACUUUAAUUAGUUCACAAGGUGUGUCCAUCUCUCCCAGUUGUCUAAGGGAGGGAUGAAACCUUCUGUCUUUGUAAUUAUUCCAAUAUUUAGUACACUGUCUGCUUGAAGGUACCAAAAAACUGUUGAGGUACCUGUUUCCAAUCCAACACCGAGCUCAUCUGUGUACACUGUGGCCAUUAAGAGCUCAGGGAAUGGGGCUGGGGAUUUAGCUCAGUGGCAUAAGCUCCUGCCUUGCAAGUGUGUGGUAGUGAGUUCGAUCCCUGGUACCAAUAAAAAAGAAAAAGACAAAAAAAAAAAAAAAAAAGUAAAAGAAAAGAACUCAGGGAAUGUGGACUAUAUGGUCUGCAUUUCCUCCUUCCAGUUCCUGAACCGUUCAUCUGCUGACAGAAGCUUCUAAACAUUUGUCUGUUCUUGUAGUGCUGGGAAAAAUCUAGGACAUAGCACAUACUGGGCAAGCACUACCACUAAGCCACACUCCCCAUAUCUUUUAUUUUGACACAAGGUCUCAUUAAAUUAUACAAGCUAGUCUCAAACUAGUGGUCCUCCUGCUUUGGCUGCCUGAGUAGGUGAGAAUACAGGUAGGCCCCCAUCAAGCUGCGGUCUAGAGGCCGCUUUGUUUCCACUGUAGCAUUUGACCCUAGAUAUACACUGUCCCUAGCCUCGGGCCGUUGGUCUUCCCUACCCAGCCUCUGGCUGAUCUUUUCAGCCACAUCUUUACCCUUCUUUCCUUAUCCUUUCUACUCCAGGAACCACAAUCCUCUUCAUCUCCCCAAACACAGACUACUGCAGGUGCCCUUUUUUUCUUCUUGGAAUGCCUUUCCUCUUGUCCACCUGUGAAGUGACUAAUACAACUUAGACUAGUGGCUCCUCCAAGGAGGCCCGAGAGCACUAGCCAUUCAUCCACUCCCUGUGCUACUCUGUACUGUACUCAGUUCAGCAUAGUAUUGCUUGCGUUUUAAGAUCCUCACCCGCUAAAUAAUACCUAGCACACAAGACUGUAGUAACUAUACUCUGUGAGUGUGAAGACAUCAUGUUUUCUAGGACAGGUAAUCAGCUUUCAGUUGUGUUUUUAAAGCCCAGCUCUACCACUUCCUAGCUGUGUUACCAAGGGCAGGCAAAUCAGUAUAGCUCUCAGUAUAGCUCACUGGACUCUAGCUCAAAUCUAUAGUAGUGACUGCACACACCUACUAGAGUUGUUAUAAGUUAGAUUGACAAAGUAUAAAAAUAUGCAGAGCAGCCUCUAGCACGCAGCAAACAUUCAGUCAGCAUCAUUAAUUACUACCAUGGGCACUGAUGCUCCCCCACUCUGUCCACUGGGAAGGCAGGGCCUACAGAAUCCUAGGAGUCACAUACAGAGCGUCCCAGCCCCAAAUUCCACCUUCUGGACUUUACCUGACAGUCAAAAAGGGAAAGAAACACAGCACACAGGAUUGUUGGGAGUAUAAAAAUAAGACUUUUUUUCUUUUUAUCACAUCAAUUAUCAAAGAAACAGUACGUAACAAAAAUACAAAGCUCUGGUGGGUUUUUUUUUGUUUGUUUUAGUUUUUCUCCCUAUUCAAUUCUGCAACAGCCCCUUGCCAGGGAGUCCCUGGCCGAAGCCUGGAUGCUGUCCCUGAGGUCACCUGGGUGCUCAGGAGAACCGAUGGUCCAGGUCUCUCUGGGGGCUGGCUGAGUACGAGUAGGCCUUGCCCAAUACCAGGCGGUCCCGUAGCAGCUUGAAGAAGGCAUAGUAGUUGCUGAAGAGGAUGAGAGCCAGUGAGAUGGUCUGGUGCCACUUUUCAGAGGACAUUAAGGAGUACAGCUGGUAGACAAUGACAGCGCCCUCCAGCAGCAGGAGGAUGUUGAGGAUCCUCAGGGGUUUGCUGAAAAAGAACUGCCCGGGAAGGACAGGCAUGGGCUGGAAGAUGUGCUCUAUCUAGGAUGAGGGGACUCUGGUGGGCCAGUGAAGGGGACAAGCUCUUGGGACCCCAUGCAGACUUGGCUGGGAGGGAGACUUUGUAGGAUUGUGCACAGGCUUUGCCACCUCAUCUGUCUUUGCUUGUGGUAUUCCUUCUGAUAGGGCUGCUGCUUCUACUUAAAUCAUUUACGAUCCUGUUCAACUUACACCCUUUCCAGGAAUCCUUUCUUGAGUGGUCUUGCUUACUUUUUCUGGUCUAAAAUCAACAUCUUUUAUUUAUGUAUUUAUUUUUCUAGAUUAUUAUUUGAGAUAGGGUUUCACUGUAGCUCAGGCUGGCCUUCAACUCACAGCAUUUUUCCCGCCUCAGCCUCCCAAGUGCUGAGAUUACAGGAAUGUACUACCAUGCCAAGCUUAUUUACUAAUAUGUUUUUUAUUAGUACCUAUUAAUUUUACAAAAUAUUGGGUUUCAAUGUGGUAUUUUGAUACAUAACAACAUCUUUGUAUGUCACUCUCUUGAGUUAUUAUUGGGUUCUGAACAAAUUAGAAUUUUAUAGUAUUUGUGCAGAAAACUAUAGCUCAGUGUCUACUAUUUCCUAUGCAGUAUCCUUAGCUAGGUCGAAAAUUCUAAGGGACAUAGUAACACAUUACUUUUUCUUUUUUGUCUUUUUGAGACAGUGUUUUACUAUGUAGUUCAGGCUGGCCUUGAACUUACUUUGUAGCCAUGCUAGCCUCGAACUUGCAAUGAUCCUCCUGCCUCAGCCUCCCAAGUGCUGGAAUUAUCUGCGUGUACCACCAUGCCUGGCAAUAACACCUUACUGUUACCUGGUGUUUCAGAGCAACGUGGAAUAUAAAUCAAGAAAUAUUUUAAGUUCAAAAGUGUGUUUUAUGUCUAGGGUCUUGAUUCUACAGGGCCAAAAUAAUGAAACUUAAAGAGCUGCUUAUAAAAUAGGAAGAUAGCUGGGCGUAGUGGCACAAGCCUGUAAUCCCAGAACUCAGGGGGCUGAGGCAGGGGGAUUAUCAUGAGUUUGAGGCCCGCCUGGACUACAUAGUGAGUUCAUGGCCAGCCUGAACUACACAGCAAGACCUUGUUUCAGAAAAAAAAACAAACGUGCAAAGAUAGGUGGUAUGAAAUGGAAUUCAAGAGACCACGGUGCCAGGCUAGUUCUGUACCCAACACACUACAAGAGUGGGUAAAUCCCUUCUCUUUUGGUCUCGGGUUUCUCAACUAUGAAAUGCCAGUAACACCUCAGAUAAGUAAUGUCUCAAGCUGGGAUCCUCAGAGCCCCAGUUUCUCUGUGAUCCCUUAGGUUUAGCAAAGGUGAGUGGGAAAUUAAGGGGGUUCCAGUAUUUUCAAAUAGAGCAAUGCCAUAAAGUUCUCUGAGUUGGGCUUUGCUCUCUGACUGUGUUGGAAAAAGUUA